GUGAAUAUUGCCCCGCAUUUUUCAAAAGCACGUCACAUAUAGUGAAAUGACAAAUGACAAAUGCAAAUUCGUAAGAGUCGGGUGUGGCUUCUGGGGGAGAAGAGCUUCCCCCGACGUGUGCAUGUGUGUAUGUCACGGACGGCAGAGACGAGAGGAGCUACUCCCC
ensembl:ncRNA H05G16.2 ncRNA